GAAUGGAGAGGCGGAGCAGGAGAUUGACCAAUAGGAGCUGUCCGGGACAGAUGGCUCCUAUUGGUCAAUGUUUUUGCAGCCCUGCACCUGAUAGGGUGAACAGAUUUUUUUCUGUUCUUUUUUCUCUUCACUUUGUGGAGAUCGCACUAUAGGACCAUGAUCGCCAUAGAAACGAGGUUCAUAAUAAUCACCAAUUUCUUCAAUCGUCAACCAUGCCUUUAACUCUUGAAACAGGCAAAGACAGCUUUGUCCACAGGGGGCGCCAAAUCAACACAAACUGAAAGUUCCUCACUGAAAAUAUUUCAGAUUAUGAAACAGGAUGAUGAGCCGUUACAGAUGGACGGGGUGUGAUGGGAAUCUUUCUCUUCUAAAGUUAACAGGAGGAGGAUUUGAGGGGGUAGAAGUGGGGGAGAGGGGGCUCUAUUCUCCCACAAUGCACUUCUCUGUGUGGGGUUCAGAGAACAGGAAACUCAGGGCUGGGCGUUACUCCUCGGAGCAGGGAUGGACGCGGCGUUUGUAUUCUUUUUCCCAGAGGCGGCUAUAUUUAUGUCUAUUGUUUUGGACAAGGAGCUCCCCCCGUGUCUUUGUCAGCGUAUGUGUGUGUCUGUGUGUGUCCACUGUCUAUGUGUGUGUGUGUGUGUGUGUGUGUGUGGGCAGUUGGCUGAAGUCCAGUAAUGAAAAUAACAUGUUGACCAAAGGAUGACCGCAGCAGCCGAAGAUGACAGCGGCCACUUUCUGUUUUCUGGGGUGUGUGUGUCUCAGAGAUUCCCACCAUAGAUCACCUCACAGAGUCCUAAACAAGAGCUGACAAAAAACACAACACAGGCGGGGUGAUGCCUGUGUGUGUGUGUGUGUGAGCUCUGCAUGUCUCCCUUUCAUUGUCAUAUAUUUCUGGUGAAUGUUUGCACAAUUACUCGGUAAUAAUUUGUCAUGCAGCCAUGCUUUAGUGCACAGGGCCAGAGCCGCAAUCAGGUAAACACAGGAGCUGUUCGCUGUUUGCAGGGUUCAAAAUCCUCAUUUUUUCGGCUCAUUUGCAAGAACACCUGCUGUGUGAUGAUCAGAAAUUCACCGUCGAACUCAAACCCUGUUUCUGCUUCAGACCGGUGCAGCCGAAAACACACAUUUCGGGGUUGUAAUAACAUCCUGCAGAAAGCCCAGAAAUUGCAGCAGAUUGCUGUAAUUGUAGAACAUUUCUCUCAUCGGCCACAAGAUUUGGGAGUUUGUUGUCUUCUCCUCUUACAAUCAGAGAGUUUUCUGUGUAUCUUUGACAUUUUAAAUAGAAGUUUGGAUCCAACACAACACAUCAACACUGACAAACAUUCAUUUUGUGACUUUGCAUCGUUUCUGCUGUCCAUGUGUGUGGUCCAACUCCCCAAAAGAAGAUUUUUUCAGCCUCACUCGUAUUUUGGUGUCCUUCCAUGAGCUUUGGAGUAAAAUAAGAUUUGCAGAGGCAGGUCUGGUUAUUAAUUUAAAGUUUGGCAGUGAGAAAUAAUAAGUUAUAAAGAAGGAGGAGGUUUUUUUCUUUAACAUAAUUUACUUUCAACAUCAUGUUUGGCCGAUUCUGGAGCAGGAUCAGCAAAAAGACACGUUUUCUUUGUUUAUAAAUGAAUUCUGGGAGCUUUUAUGUCUUUGUUUUGCAGAGGUUAGGAGAGUGAAUAAAGCAGGAAACUAGGAAGUGACACGCUGGGCUGCAGAAUUUAACCCAACAGACCUCAGACAAAAGAAAAGCAUCAACAACACCCUCCUAAAAAGACGUACUUUUUCUGCUGAAGGAUAACUGUAGAUGGAGAAACUCGACAACAAGGACAAACUACCUUUGAUAAGCAUUAAGGCUGUGAUGGGUGGCAUCACAGCCUAAUGGUCUCAUUUUGCAGAAAUAAGAGUUUGUAAAGUUUUAGUUUAGUAUUUUUGUUAUAAUAUCAUUUAAAGGUUGUUAUGCCGGUGUGUACCUGUCUGUUGAAUCCAUCCUUCCCAGUGUUUUUUAUUUUCCCAUCACAAAUCCACUUCAGCUCUGACUCAUUAGACUACAAUAACCCCGUCCAGACUAUUGUCUGCUGUCUAUGUUUAAUCUCCUGUCUGCCUGUUGUCGGCCAUCUGGAAAUGAUACAGUAGAGCAAUAACUUUAUAAGGUCAACAAUCAUAAAGAUUCACCUCUGACUGUAGGGAUCUUUAUUUCAAAGUGAGACGGAGGUUUCUCCAGAGUCGAGUUUAAUCUUUUAAUGUCUGAGCUCCGAGGUUACAUUUCUGUCCUCUGAGCUGAUUGUUGUCGGUUUGAGUUGAAGUGGGGUGACGAAUGAAGAGUGUAAAACAUGCGACAUGUUCGAACCUUGUGAAACUACAAAUGUCUUUUACUCAUAUAUAUCUCCUGACAUGUUCCAGUUAUAACCUGAGCGCGUGUUUGCUGUUUUAACGUCUUUUUGCACGUGCAUCGUUAAAGGUGUUGUAGUCAGGAUCUGAGGAAGUUCUAGUUUUUAGGAGAAAUCUUGAAUGUAAACUCGACCCCUCCCAACCAGUUUUCCCCUCAGCUCCUCCUCUCCCCUCAAGCCCCGCCCACAAACAGACGCUCCUGCUCGCUCGUAUCGUUCCAGUUAAAUUCAGAUAUAAUGCAGAUAAAUCCUUCAGAACAUUACAAAUGGGGCCCAGUCAAGGUGAAAGUCAAAAGCAUUGGUGCUACUGUAGAUGCCAACAGACUACCAGCAAACACAAUGUUUGCAGGACUUCUACGACUAGGAUAAAGUGACAUAGUCCAGGACCCGAGGGAGGACAGUUUAGCGAUGGCGCUACAACACGCUACAGCAGGUCCGUUUGACAAGAAACACUUCUGUUACAGACACUUGUCUUACUUUGUUAAAGCGGUUUACCUGUCCAGCAGAAAGGUUACAGGGUCACCAAGAUCCCCAAGCGUCCCCCAUGGUUUAUGUUGACCCGGCUUUUUAGCUCUUGUCCGGUCUACCUCCGUUUUAAGCGCCCGUUAUUCCUCCAGAGUCUCCGGUAUUUACUUUGUUUUCUCGCUUGUGUCGGCAGUCGUGGCCAAAGGAGGAUUCAGACAAUUUUCCGAACUUUCUGGUUGGUUUCUACUGUCCGAUAUUGUAUCACGCUAACUUCGUUUAGGAGCAGCAUCCGCCUCACAACCAAUCAGGAUGGGGAGGCGGGGAAUGGUACAUACAUCACAAAAAAAGAUGCUUUUUUAACAGAUUCCUGCCUACCCCACCUUCAAGUGUUUACCGCUCAUUUACUAAUUAUGCAGUUUGUUUUAGUUUUGUUGUCACAUUUCUUAUCUGCAGCACACUGUUUGGACUUUUACAUAAAUUUGCAGAAUGUUUGUAAAUCAUCCAGCCUUCUCAGCCGCUGUAGGAGGAUAGUAAUGUUUUGGAAAUCAGGAGAAGUGACCAAGCUUUUGUUUUUGUAAAGUUAGGAAUGAGAUUUUCAACAACUGCUCAACUACUUUAAAAAAAUUAGCAUGUGAAUAAGCUCCUUAAAACAUGAAGUUGUUCACAGAAAACCUCAACCAGGAAGCUGAACUACUUUGGAGCAACAGAUGUGCCUCCAUGAAAAUGCACUCCUUUUUCAGUACACACACACACACAGAGUGAGUCACUUUUCAGAUUAACUCUACCGUAUAACAGAAAGUGGGACGCUGAUUCACGAAGCAUCCAUGUGAAACUUUCUCCUCUUUGAGUUUUUUUUUUUCGCAGCACUUUGAAAAUCAGGUGCCAGGCCUCCUCUCCUCUCCUCUCACACACGUUUUACACACAUCAGGCCCUCUCUGACAAAACUCUCAAACAGCAUCUUUAAAUAGCAGCACUGGUGGGAAUUUCAUUUCACGAGAGCUGAAUACAUUUCGCUCAAAAAAAGUUGGAAAAACUCGCCUCACCCGCAAAGAAUCAGGAGAAUGAGCGCAUGAGAAAUAACUCCUUUUUUCAACUGUGGUUUUAGAGUUUGUUUAAAAAUACUGUGGCGCUAUUUUGGGGAAAUGUAUGUUUUUGAUACAGUGAAGUUGUUGUAGGAAUAGUAGAUGUACUGAAUGAUGAAAUCUGGAGAAACUAUGAAUGUUUCCAUCGACUUGGAGCAUUAAAAACGGUUUUCUUACACUGUGUCAUCGUUUGCUCCGACAGUAUUAUUCAGCAAAGACUGAUCCCUCUGAUUUAAAGCAGCAGUGAGAGUACGGUGUUGUUUUUGUGGACAAUCAGACAUGAGAUAAGAUAAGUGGACAGUAAGCAGAGGGCAGGGCUCCACACUCGCUUCUAUAAUUAACCUUUGGCUGUGACUACGACAGCCGACGGGGAGGAAAUGCCGUCAGACGGCGGUAAACACGGACAGGGAGGAGGGGUGGGAACUGGGUGAACAAGGCCAAAGGCUUCGUCCUCUGGAAUCACUGCCAAGCUCGAGUGUUUGGAAACAUGGGCUGAAAUGGAAGGUGGAUUUACUGCGAGAAUCAGACUGAGGAUCUGAACGGCUCAGGCUGCAGUAAUCCUCGGUAAAUAAAAACUAAAACUGGAUCAGAAAUGUUGCUCAACACUCUCAAAAAUCUGUUCAUAAAGAAAAGUCUUCACUAACUUAAAGGUUAGGAGAUCUUACCUGGGAUUUCCAUUGCAAUUGUUGCCAUCCGCCAAUUCCUACUGGAUCAAUUUGUGAGGUGAAUUUCAUACUCACAACAACCCAAGGAUUUACGUGCAAUAACAAGUUGUUUCUAUAAAGACAGCCACAUAGACAUAUAAGCAGUAGAUUGUGUCCUUCCAGAGGAGGAAAUCUACUUCUAGACUUCUAGAAUCAGCAUCUCCUCAUACAUGGUGUCAUCGGGGUGAAAUGACAUCAACAGACGGGUUUCCAUGAGGCAAAAGGCUGCUUCAGAGUGAACUGAUAUCAAUGAAGAUGCCGUAUUGUUUGCAAGUUCUCCCUGACACAAUUGCAAUAAAUUGUUUUGCAUUGAAAAGUCGCUUUGUCUUUCAUUGCAUCAAAAUCAGAAAAACACUGACUGAAACAUCCAUGAAUUUCGCUCAAUUUACCAGGUUGUGACAUUGUUUUAGAUGUUUCUAAAAUCAGGAGCAGGGUCCUAAUGUUUGCCGAUUGUUUGUUUCGCAGAUUGUCAGUUUCUCUCUCCGUUGACUCCGCUAGUAAACAAAUACGAAAUGUCCCGCUUUCUGCCCCGAGGCUACGCGCACAUACCUGCAAUGACGUUGCACAGAAACCCAUCUAAAAACCUUUCACCUGUUCGUCUCCGCCCGUUUGCAUGGUGUGAAAUACGAUCCUCCUGAAACAUGGAGUGUUUUAUUUUGAAAAGAAGCCGGAUGUUUUAUUUUGUGUCUGUGCUGAAUUUAUCUGGCAUGCUGUGGCGUCCGGAUAAAAUAGAACUCUUGCGAUCCGCAGCGGAACGGAAAGAAGCCGAUGGAAAUUGACACGUUAAUUGACACGUCUCGGUGGAUACGGCCUUUUUGUAGCCGUUCCGGAUAUGCUGGAAAUUGUGGGUAAGGUCGUCACUAUUGUUUCUUUUCUGGUUAUUGACGUGCACAAUGCCUAAAAUCCAGGUGUGUGUGUGUCAGUCAGAAAAGGUGACCACACACCUCCAUGUAAAGCUCGAUCUGUGUACAGUGAGACGACCUGACACAGGUGUGACCUGCGGGCCUCUAUUGUUGAACGUUAUCUCGGCUCCCCCUCCCUCUGAUGUUGUGACAGAGGACGCCGUCAGUCUCUGCAGAGAUGGGACAUACCACUGCACCCAGAUCAGGGGGGGUUGUUGUGAUUGUGGAGCACUUUGGAGUAAAUUUGGCUGCUUAAUUGUUCCUGAGGAGGUCAGUUCUGGGUCGUGAAAACAAGGGAUUGUGGGAGUAAACUCCAGCUGCUGAUGAGGCAACAUGAUGACACACAGAUGAAGCUUGAAGAGGGUCGGAGUGGAUUGUUUCUUUCACACACACUUUCUCUCUCUCUCGUGCAUGCUGAUUACUGAGCCUGUGUGUGUGUGUGUGUGUGGAUCAGGGCUGUGUCAUGAUGAAUGCUCCCUCUAUCCUAAUCAGUCUUCCUCCCCGGACAGCAGAUUGAUCCCCCUCUCUAUCGAUCAUGACUCAUUCUCCUCUGCACGACCUCCUUUACCCACAAAUCCCUUCCUCUUGCAUCACCUCUUACCUGUUUCGCUUUUCCGGCUCUUUCUCAAAAUUUCCUCGUCUGUGCGGAUUUCUCUUUCUCACCCGUCUCCCUGUUUGAUUUCCUUAAUUAGUCGUCUUUUCUCUCCUCACCCUCCUCCUCCUCCCCUCUCUCUCUCUCUCUUCUACUUAAAUCCUGUCCACCUCUGUUCAGCCCAAAGUCAGAAAGUUGAUGAUCUUGCAGGAAAAAACUCUGCCUGCAACACUCAGGAAAUCAAUAAUGUGACUAAACGCCAGUUAAUGGGAGUAAAAGCAGCUCUGUGUGCAGCACCGCUCCGGUCUUAUGAGCAAGAUUUCCACGACUUCAUCUUAGAUUCUCGCUCUUUUACUAUCUUAUCCUCGCCCUGACGUAAUCAAACAAGUUUUAUGUUGAGAAAUGUUUACACUUUAAUGAUUUUAAGACCUUGUUUUAUCUAAAGGAGCCGAAUGCACUCAAGGCUUCUCCAACUUUCUGUAGUUAAGCUGCAUAAUCAGGGUUCAAGUGUGCAAUCUGAACGCCAAAUGAUUCAACCAAAUGAUAUGCUCGUGUGUGAUGGGAAAGUUCCACGCUCUUAAUCUUUAGAGCCGCAAGAAUCAGCGAAAGCAGGAAGGAGGUAUAAAAAGAGCUAAAACUGAUGUGUAUAGGUCUUUCUGAAUCACCAGAAGAGUCGCCAAAGCGUUGAAUCGAUGUCAGAAGACGCAUAUAUGCACAGAGGUAUGUGUAUGUGCUUAAUAUGGUCCUGUGAAAUCUUGCAGCAUUGACUCUAAACCAGGUUUUUGUUUUGGGUCAUUGCCGCGAUCAUCUCUGCUGGAUAAAGGUUACAUUUGGCCGACCAUGACCCUCAAACUGUGAGCAACAAGCCAACAGGCGCACAGAUGAGAGCGAGUGUAUCUGCUGUCCACCUGCUGUGAGCUCUGUGGGCGUUUGGCAUAAACUUACACCUGCAUCGGUUGGAAUAUUUCCAUUGCAGUUGCACACCCAGAGUUAAAGAAUGUCUCUUAAUGCAACAGACCAAACAUCGAGUGUUUUGCAGUCUUUACAAAGCGGAUAAUCCAUCUCUGCCUGUCCUAAAGUUGUCUAUCCAUCAUUGGUUAUACUGUCAGGAGUGAGUGAUCAUCGGCAAAGACUGAGAACCAAUCAGCUGAUGAGUUAGCUGAGGGACACAGGAAGCUUUUUUUUUUUUUCUGAAGACUCAUUUCUCAAAAGUUUGUUUCAUGACAUGCAAACUGAAGUAGAACAGUUUUCCAUAAAGCAGAAAUGUUUUUGUCGAGGUGGGCCGACGGUUUUCAAAAAGGUAAAGAACAGUAAAGAAAAGGACCUGAAUACAGUCGGGUGGGGGUGGGGCAAAAGGACAGAUGGUGAGCAGGAGUAACAUCCCCACUCAAGAUUUCAGAGGCGUGAAUCUGUCAGACACACGUUUUCUUUAUUCUCAUGGAGUCAUGUGACACCAGUGUGACGGUUUAAUGUGGCUGUAAGACAAAAAAAAAACAGCACUGAAAAUAUCCUGAUUUCUUACACCAGUGGACUACAUGUGUUGUUGCAAACAAGGCAGUUUUUUUUCCAUGAUUUUUUUCUUCAUUUUCUUCUUUUUUUUUUUUUACAAUAUAUCUGUAUCUAUCUAUCUAUCUAUCUAUCUAUCUCAGGGCUGCAAAAACAUUGACAUGACUAACAUCGUGACACAUGUUACAUAAAGAACUCUUAUUAGUCUCUGACAUGUCAACACGGUAGCGGUCCAGGCAGCUGCAGACGGCGCUCGCUAACAGAGCUGGCGUUUACUGCUGCUAGUCACUAACAAUCCCACAUGGUGAAUCCUAUUUGAAGCUAGCAUAGGAUCUUCUGCCAGAGAGAGUGUGUCAUGGGGAGGGUGAUACAGGUUCAGGGGGGAGCUAUCGUGGAGCACAGAGGGGAGGGGUUUGUGUGUGGUGGGGGUGGGACGCUCAGUUUUUUUCAACUGCUUCUCCAAUCGUCAACCAUCCCUUUAAUACAUACUCGGUUCAAUUGAAAAAAAAAAAAGAGCAGAAAGAGAAUCCUUGACUUUUCCAAAUCUUAAUUUUGAGGCACCAGUGUGAACGUGAAAGACCUGAAAAUGUCCUGAAAUUCUCUGGAAUAAUCUGGAGUUUGUGAGACAAGAGGAAUGUCGUUUUUGUGUCUGUCAAUGUGGAGAAGAGCGUAAAACGAUGAUGAAUCUCAGCUGCGUAAAGACACUCAGACAUGUAUCCGAAUCAUCCUCUCAGCUUAUUUAAUCACAGUCCCUGGGUGAUGUGAUUCAUUCUGUUAAAAUGAUUUCUUUAAAAGCCAUCCAGCGAAUCCUCAAACUUAUUGUACAGGAUACAAGCAGCCAAGUCUGAAAUUAAUGAUAGAGAUCUUCAUGACGGUUUAAAUUGAAUUCAUUUGUGUGGAACGGCAGAAGAUUGUGUUAGGAGGAGUCGCACAAAGACGCGGGGUACAGAGCUGGCCUUAUUCUUGUUGUUGAGUUAUAACACAAACAUGCAGAGUGGGCAGUGCCAGCUGGUACAGGGAUUCUGUCUUUUCACUGGGGUGCUGAAUCUGCCAUAACACCUCCCGGCCUAAAUCACAAUCACCUCCUUUUGUGGCAGAACAUGUCACCUGUGCUCCCUCCAACACAGAGAGGUGAGAGUCAGACGAGACACAUUCAAUCCCUGCAAAUGUGUGUGAGAGUGUGUGAGAGUGUGUGUGAUUGACGGCAGCAGAUGGUGGAGUGACAGGGGUGAUCCCUCUGAAGUGAUCCAUGUGGGGUCUCCUGUGACCCCCCUGGUGGUCACCGAUAAACACAAGACACAGUUAGCUUCUUGUUCAAACAACAAGACACGCACUCUUUCACACACACUCACACUCACGCCUGCAGCAGCUCUCCUCACUCAUUAGUAAAAGGUGAUUCAAACAUUUCAGACAAGUUUUGGUUCAGUCAGAGGUAACAGUGAGGAGGCUGUGGGGUGUUAUGUCAGGAUCUGCUCGUCUUUGAAUAUGCAUGAUUUCACAGCCAGAUGGCACAGACUAAUUCUAAGGAUUCAGCGCUGUGGGGUGAGACCACAAUGCAUGUUUGUAAUGAUGGAUAAUGGCAAUAAUGCAAUGUUGGAUCUAAGUGGAGUCUUCAGUGAGACGGGGCACAGGGAUGUCUCAACCUGAGUCUAAAGAUUUUAUGUUUUACUUUGAGUUGACCGAAAAUCAAAUAUCUUAAAACCUGGACCCCAUUUCUUUCUUCAUAUGUAUUUCUUCAUAUGUUAACUAUCACUGUUAAUGCAGUUAAUAAUGCAGUUUUUUAUCAGCAAUGCAGCACUCUUAAAAGUGCCAAAACUGACACAAACCAAAAGUUCUUUACAGGAGCGUUAAAGUCCUGGUUAAUGAACUGAGAACUGGGAGAGUGGGAGGCGACGUGUCGGAACUACGGGAGGGAGGUGUGUCGAAUACAGUGAGGUGAUUGGAUGGAGAGGCGGAGCAGGAGAUUGACCAAUACGAGCUGUCUGGGACAGAUGGCUCCCAUUGGUCAAUGUUUCUGCAGCCCUGAACAGAUUUUUUCCGUUCUUCUUUCUCUUCACUUUGUGGAGAUCACAUUAUAGGACCAUGAUCGCCAUAGAAACAAGGUUCAUAAUAAUUACCAAUCUCUCCAAUCGUCAACCAUGACUUUAA